GCCAGGUGUGGUGGUGUGUGCCUACAGUCCCAGCUACUUGGGAAGCUGAGGUAAGAGGACCGCCUGAGCCCAGGAGUUUUGGGCUGUAGUGGGCUGUGCUAACCAGGUAUCUGCACGAAGUUUGGCAGCAACAUGGUGACCUUCUAGGAAUGGGGAACCACCAGCUUGCUAAGGAGGGGUGAACUGACCCAAGUAGGAAAGGGAGCAGGUCAAAACUCCCAUGCCGAUGAGUAAUGGGAUUGUGCCUAUAAAUAUCCACUGCACUGCAGCCUGGCAACAUAAUAAGACCCCGUCUCUA
rnacentral:SRP_RNA from 2 species